UUUUUAUGUGUAGAUCAUUUUCUUUAUUGGAAUUACAGAACACAACCAAGAAUUUGACGACAGCAGUCAUAUAGCAAGAGUACAUCCUUUGCCAUCUAAAAUUACCCUGGUGCAGAAUAACAGGCUUUAGCUUUGCGGAUUUGGACAGACACAUAUUAAGAGAAGUCGCGCCUAUGCUAUUAGCAACAAUUGGCCAAGCUUUGUAUGCACACAAAAUGCUCAGGUUACUGCAGCCCUGUGGAUGUUAUAUCCACCACAGAGUGUUCCCACAUGACAGGGGCUUGAGUUCCCAACUUGCUUGCCAAGUUCCUUAUAGUUUCCAGCUUUCCAUUUAAGACAGAUAUGUAAAAUAUAUGCUAAUUGUCACCCUAAUGGAAACAAUAUGCGAUUCACAACUAGGAUAUCCCAAAAGCCCACAUCCCCCCCACUGAGCAAAGGCAUCCUGAAUGAACAUCUCUAAUCUCUUUUUCCAUGCCUACAAUUCAGCUAACCUGGAUGCUUCCGAACAAAGAACGAUAGUUGGGACUACAGCUGACUGCCAGCUGUCUCACACUUUGUCACCAGGGUUCUAAAAAAGACAAUAGUGUUUGCUGGAGAAUACUUAUGAAAAAGCAGGGUUUUUGGUCAAAGAAGGGAUUUAAUCAAAUCUCCCACUGAGAAUCACUUAGAAAAUUCAAUCCACAUUUAGUAAGUGUCUACAAUAUGCCAGCACUGUGUGAGAUGCUAGAAACACGAUGUCCUUAGGAGGGCUAGGACAUAUACACAGAAAAGUAAAUACUUGGUCAUUUCAGAAGAGAGAGCUCGAACAUCUAGUCCAGGGUCACAAAUGGUGUCAUAUAGAACAUCUCAUAUAGGACUUAGCUUGAGGCUGAGUCUGGGAAGAAGCUAAGGAGUAUAAGAGGUGGCGGGGAGGAGAGAGUGGACUGGAGGCAUGGGGGAUGGUCUUCAAAAAGUCACAGAGGCAGGAGGGAGAUGCCAAUUUUGGAAAAGGGCAAGUAGGGCAGUUGAGCUGGAGAUAAGAUUGGGAAGAGAUUUUAAUACCAAGCUUCGGGAUUUCUAUUUUUGAGCAACAGAAUGUCAUGGUCUCUCCUAUUCUUUACAAAGAAUACUUAACCAAUGUUGUAAAGUACUGGAGAAAGGAGAGAGCAGAAACUAGAAACCAAAUGAGGAAACAAGAGUCCAGGCCACAGGUAAUGAGAGCCUGGACCGGGGCAGUGGCUAUGGGAGCAGAGAGAAGGGGACACACAGAGGUAGAAUCCACAAGAUUUGGCAACUGAUUCAAAAUGGGGUUGGGGAUGGGAGAAGGGAGAAGUUGUACAUGACCCUAAGCUUAUGAACCUGGGGACUGGGAAUAGAGUGACACCCUUUGCUGAAAGAGACUGUUUAGAAGAAGUCUGGAGUUGUUGAGCUUGCGAUGCUGAUGAGUCAGAAGUUCUGAAGUCUUCCACUGAAGACAAGUUCAUUCUAGGAUUUGGCCGGAGUCACAGACGCACCAGAUUUCAGAGUUGGCAUGGGCCUUGGUGGCCAGCUCAGCCAACCCUUACUUAUACAGGAGACCCCUCUCUACUUCAUCCCCAACAAGUGUUCCUCCAGCCUUCAAAACCUACAGGGAAGAAGAACUUACUGUUCCUCGAACCAGCCCAUUUAGGCAAUGGAUUGCCUCAAGUCAAGCUCCAACCUGUAAGCAUUUACCAAGUUCCUCCUGUGUGCCCAUUAUUGUGCUGAGGGCUCAGGAGGUUACAGAAGCAGCAGAAGCAAUGGCAGUUGCUUUUGAGAAGCUAGCAGUCUACAAAGGCAAACAAGACACCCACAAAUACAAAACAUGAAACACUUAGGAUACAUUCUAGAAGCACGCGAUCAUGUGAGAUAUCCUGUCCAUGCUGGAGAUAACCCAAAGGCAGAAAAGUUCACUGAGAGGCAGAUUCAGGGGAAAAAAGCUUCGCGGAAGCAACGUCUUGAGUUAGGCCUUGAGGGCAACACAGACCUUAGCUUGACAAAGAGACAAAUAAAGGGCAGAAAAUUCCUUGUUCUUAAAAAAGUGUUUCUGCUCAACUGAUAGCUCAAGUUAAAGAUGAUUCUUCAGCUUUUUUCACUUUGAAGUGAAUUUCUUUUCAGUCUUUUUAGCCUUCAUCAGUGCCAGGAAGAGAGUGAAAAUGACAAAAUCUUGAAGAAGAGAAUUGAGAGAUCCCCAAAAUCCAGACUCUUAAAUCCUCCACACUUGAAUCUGAACAGUCCAGACAAUUACUGCAAUUUAGGCAUUUUGUUUCUGUAUUUUUUUUUCUUCCAUCAAAAGACUAGAAUGUGACCGCAAACCUCUGAGUUGCUUUUAGUCCUUAAAACAGGUAGGAUCAAGCAUCUCCAUUCCAUUUCCAAGAGGUGCUGAUUCAAGGGACUGGUAGGAGUCCAAAUUGGCGCAACAUGCCGAGAGCAUGUUGUCAGCUGGCAUUUCGAUGACAUUUGAGGGUUCCCAAAGUACUUGACCUCCGUCCUCAUUGGACCCUCACAACAACCCUGUGAGGUAGGUAGUGCAAGUAUGGAGGGUUGAUCAAAGGCAUUCCCUGGUCAAGGUCAUGGGAAAAGGGAUCUUCCUAGGAAAGGGAGUCAUGGGUCCAGCAUUCAGCCAUGAUCCAUGCUCCUUAAACAGGAGAUGUCCUCAAUUUUCUCAAAGUGAAGCCAGUAGACAACCUGAUCAAAUCCACAAGGGAAGUCCCCUGAUCAACCCACCAUACCAGUGUGAAUAUCCCUGUCUGGCAGCACAAACGAACACUCUUAAAGGUUUGUCCAAGCUCACUCAGUCGGCAAGAGUCGGAGACCAAACUCAGGCCAUCGAAAGCAAAGGAGCAAGGAGACCGACCAUUAAGAAAAUGAGCAACUGGAGAUAUUGCCAAACACCGUCAAGGGAUGGUGCUGGUAGCCAUACAAGUUUGGGAGAAGCGUGCCUUAAAUGCAGGGGAAAUGGGGAAGGAAUGAUCAUUUACCAAUCAAUCUACCAAUCAAUCUAUUUAGUAAUCAGAAUUCUUGGUCACAAAAAGUAAUAAGAAUUGGCAUUUCCAGAGCACUUUAAAAUGUACAAAGUGCUUCACAAACAUUAUCUCGUUUCAAGCUCACAACCACCCUGGGAGGUAGAUACCCAUGACUAUCCAUUUUUGCAAGGGAGGAUACUGAGGUUCCGAGUAGGUAACUGACCUUCCCAGGGUCCCUCAACCAGAUUAUGUCAGAGGUGGGAUUUGAGUUCUGGCUCCAAUUCCAGCAUUCUGGCCACUACAUCCUUUUCCCUCUACAAUGAAAACCCCAAAGACAUGAAAGCCAAAGGCAGAGAUUGUUACUAGUCCCAGAAUCACCAUCUCCAGUCUUCUGGUUUGCCCAACCUUAUCAUGUGGAUAUUGUUGAAUGAAUGGAUGGAUGGAUGGAUGGAUGGAUGGAUGAAUGAUUGAAUGAAUGAAUGAGUAGCUUUUUGACAUAUUCAGAGUUUUUAAAAAUGACUGCCAUUAACAAGGUAUCUUUGUGCACAUUUCAAGGCAAUUCUCUGGCUUAGACUCAUUCAGGAGGGAAAGGUUUCUCCUGAGAAGCUAAGGGGCGAUGUCUUUUCUAGCUCUAGAGUUCUGUAAGUUUAGGAAGGAAUAGAGAAAAGCCCACCAAGGAAUUGUGUGCACAUAUGGUGAAGUCUCAGCUAAUAUAUUCUUUAGACAUAAAGCAGGUUGGGUAAAGUCAGCAGGAGACUGGAAAUUGGAGGAGUGGAGGAGGUGAAGGAGGAGACAAAGGCCCCUGAGGGAGACAAGCUCAACUCCUGUACUUCUUGAGAGUUGGAGGCUCAUAGAUCAAAGGUCGGCAGGGACCUCAGAGGCCAUCCAGGCUAACCUCAUUCAUUGGACGGAUGAGGAAACUGAGACCACAAAAGGUUAAGUCACUGGCCCAAAGUCACACAUGGGAUCUUGUUAGAGCUGGCAUUUAAAGCCACACGUGCUCACUCAUAGACUCUAACAAGAGUGUCUAGAGGUGAGAAGUAAGGGCUGAGGAGUCCAUGUAUUUUCUAUUUCUAGGGGAGAAGUUUCUGAGGAUAAGGCAUGAUGCUCAUGGAAUGCAACUUUCUUGUAGCUUGAGGAAACCCUUUCACUGAGAGCUCUUUCACCCCCACCUCUCGUUCCAGUUGGCAGUACAGGAAGGAGAGGUGUUCAAAGGACAUUUUGUUUGCCACACAGAGUUUAUCCCUCCAUGUCUCCCCCAAGAUCUUUUCCUCUGCUCUAGGAACCAGCUCACCAGAUGAAUGAUGGAUGAGGUCAGAGAGCAAGUCUGGAUACAGACCUAGAGGAGGAGGCAAGAAUGCAGGUUUCUGGAGGGGACACCACUUCCGGCCACAAAACACUUGGUCUUUCGGUGGGGGCAAGUUUGAGGGAGGAAGGGAGGUUCCUGUGGCCAAGGAAUUAGACGCGCUCUACCUGGCACGGAAGGCCAGAGUAGGAUCAACAGUUGGAAACUCCAGCAAAGCAGAUCUUGGCUCAGGAUAAAGAAAAACCUCAGAACAAAUAGAGCCCUUUGGAGGCACAAUUGGCUCUCUCGAGAUGUAGUGAGCUUCCCAUCCCUGGGGGGGCUUUAAACAGAGAGUAGAUGACCGACCACUUUUCAAGUGUUACAGCUCAGACUUGGACUAAACAGCUUCUGAGGUCUCUAUGCCCAGACACAUCUACAUCACUUCCAGACUCUCCAGGACAGAACUUGGGGAGAGCUGAGACUGUGAGACUCCCUUCGCUCCUAUAACCCAGUUUCCCAAGGAAUGUUCAGCUUCCUAUGUGCUCUCUGAAGGAGAUGACACCGUCACACCAAUCUUAGGCACAAUUUGUCUGUUCUUUCCAUUCUGAAUCUGUCCUACUGCCUAAAACUCUCAAAUGGUCCCUUCCUGGAUCAUAUGAAAUAAUCCAGCAUCCAAGAACUUGUCUACAGAUGGAAAAUACCUCUGAGACCAACUACCCAAACAGCCUUCUUUUUGUGCCAUAAAUGAUGGGAGAGGAAGAGUCCCCCUCCCCUUGCCAAACUGCCAGCACUCUACCAAAGAAUUAGACAAACCCAAUCUCCUGGGGCUCCAUAGGUUACAAGGAUCAAACAGUCUUCAGAGAGACAACCCAAGAUUACCAAGUUACCCCCACUUAGUCCUUCUUCCCUUCUGGUUGCCAGAAACCAUCUCCCCUCCCCAACUCCUAGAGUCCUUCCAAUUUCAACAUCAGCUCCCACUUUCUUUCUCUGUUCUCUUCAAGUCUGGACUGUGAUUCGCCAGGUGACCUGAACCCUCGCUUACUGCUCGACACGGUUGGCCCUAGAACUCCAAGCUGAAAAGUCCAUCUCCAAUCCCAGUCCCACCCCGGGGGGAAGCCCACCUAAAUGAGAGGUUUGCCUUUGCAGAAGAAGGCUGGAGUUUAGGAAACAAUGCAAUGAGCAAAGUUCACUUCUCCCACCUCAUAAAACUCAGGUCCCAGAAACUCCUUCAAGGCUUGUUGCCUAUGAAUCAAUCAGUCAAUCAUCAAACAUUUAUGAAGUUUCCACUAAUUGGAAUACAGAAACAAACAAAAACAUGAAACCAUUCUCUAGUUGCAAGGGAGCUUGCAGUCUGAGGGAGACAACACACACACACAUACACACACACACACAUAUGUACAUAUAUAUAUAAGUAUAUACAGAAUAAAUAUGAAUAAAUACAAAGUGUUACAUAUAAGAUAAUCUGGGUAGGAGGGUUCUAGAAUGGGGGGAAGAUCAUGGGGUGGGGUGCCUAUGUUGCUAUGGAGACAAGAGACUUAAACAGAUUGUUGUCCCAGAAUUCAACUGAACUUGGGCUUCUGCCUUUGUUAGGGGGGUAUUUUUGGAAGGAAAAUCAGCAGGGAGGGUUGAUCCCAUUUGUCCAUCCACUCGGGCAUCAGCUCUUGGAAUGAGCUUCUAGCCCUGAGUCCUAUUGGCAAGAAGCCAACCUCAAAACUCCCUUGUGGUUGACUCAAAGCAGGCAGGGAGUUUUUGCACAUGCUCAGCACAAUCCACAUUACACUUAUGUAUAAAAAGGGAAAAAAGGGAAAGGAAAAAGCUCAUUAUUUUCUAUAUCCUAUAUGACUGCCCCAGCCAAACAGCAGCCUCAGUAGUCUGAGUUGCUUUUAUUUUUCUUAUAUUAUCAUUAUAUACAAUGGACCAAAGAGUAAUAUCUAUUUUAAAGCGGCCACGGUCUGAUUAUUAAAACUCACUACAUCACCAUCUUUUACAAGGAGGUAGGAGCUGCCAGGAAGGAGAUAGUGACAAUGUUUGUUUUCUUCCUCAUUUAAUAUUAAUAUCUAAGUAGUCAGGUUUAGACACAUGUUGGCCAUUUACUUAAAAAUAAAUACAAUUUACUCUUUGGGGGGGGGGGAUUCCUCUUCCCUUAUGUUGAAAGUAUUUUUUUUCAUUUUUUUAAAAAAUGUAUUGACUUUUUACAAUGCAGGAUGUUACAAGAUAUGGUGGUGAGGGUUCGAGAGCUAGAAUCCAAGGCCCUGCCUCUAGUCCUGGCUCUGCCAGUCAUCAUCUGUCUGACUUCAAGGCAGGUCACUUAAUUUCUCCAGGGGCCAAUUUUUCUCAUUGAUCAAAUGAGGGGAAUGAAUGAGAUGAGCUCUAAGGUCCCUACCAGCUCUAAAUCUUUGAUUUUCUCCUGUAAUAAAAUGUGUAAACACCCAUUAGCCAUGUGACCAAGGGCAAGUGAUCCUUGCCACUCAAAGCACAUAAAUUCCGGGUAAGCUGCUAAUUAAUUGCAAACAAAAUAGUGCUUAGAGUUUCCAUGCUUGGGAUUUCUCUAUCUGAACUCACAGGUUAGAAUCAAAUAAAAGAAUAACAGAUGGAGCCCAAAAGGAUGAAAUAUAAUCAAUGUAUCUAUGCAGUUUCCUUUCCUAUACGACUCUCUUCCUCUGUACAAAGCUCUUUUCUGUAUGAGAAGAUGGUCCAAUGAAAGAGAUUAUGUCAAGGACAAAAACCAUAGCAUUUUAGAGCUAAAUGAGACCCAACUCAUGUCAUCUUCUAGAUGGAAAACAAAUGAAACCCCAGAGGUUAAAUGACCUGCCAUCACACUACCUGCUACCUAAGAGCAGGACCAGGAUGAGGACUGGAGCUCCUACCUCUCACUCCAUUCGUGUUAUGACUAACCCACCCUGACUACAGGAGGCUUAUUUGUAAUGGACAUGCACAAUGGAGAAGGAAAGAACUAGAGAAGAUUACCUUUCCCAUAAUGCCCUGGUCCCAAGGCAUAGGCACUGAUUGGAGAAAAGCAGAGAUUACUAGGGACAAGAAAGAGGAGAGGAUGAGCAGAUGGAGGAAGAGGAGAAGGAGAAAGAGAAAGAGGAAUGGGAAUAGUAAAAGGAGUUAAGAAGCAUCCACGAUUAUGGCAGCAAGCAGAAGCAGUGGCAGAAGCAGCAGCAAAAGCAGCAGCAGAAGCAGAAGCAGAAGCAAUAGCAGAAGCAGAGGCAGAAGCAGAGGCAGAAGCAGAGGCAGAAGCAGAAGCAGAGGCAGAAGCAGAGGCAGAAGCAGUGGCAGAAGCAGCAGCAGCAGAAGCAAGCAGGGUGCAAGUUCAGACAGAUGUGGGCACACAGAAGUCAAUGCAAGGGAUGGGGACUACAAGGGAAGCGAGGGGAGAGACAGGACUCUGAUGCUAAGUUAUUCAUCGGGAUUCUCUCACUCCACUCAUGUGGUUGAGACUUUCCCAAUUGUGCCCAGUGGUUGUUUCUGCAGAUUUAAGAGGAAGGGAGACUAUUAGCUCCAUUAAUUUCCUCCUGGAUUUGGAGAUAAGUUGUCUUUAUCCCCUGAUAUGCUUAUAACAAAUCUGCUUUAUGUUAUAAAUGGCUUGAGGCAUAGUGGAUAGAUAGAGCACCAGCCUUGGAAUCAAAUCGGGAUUCAAUCCCCGCAUCCAUCACAUAAUCAUGAUGUGACCUUGAACAGAUGUGUUAACCUUUCAGUGACCCCAAGCAAGUUUCUAAGACUGGAAGUUAUAGGACAGGGACCAGUGGACAUUGGUACAGGGAGUUUCCUCAUCAGGAAUUCUAUAUACCAAUGAAUUCAUAGAUCUGGUCCCAAAAGUUCAAAAUGCCUAAGUUGCCUAGUGAUAAGCUGACUUGAGUACUCCUAUGGGGAGAGCAAUAUAUAAGCUAAAUUUAAACGUUUAGAGGAAAGCAUCAAGAGAGCAGCAAUCUGAUUGCAAGAACGAGCAAGGACAAGAUAGCAAAGGAAAAUGAAUAUAAAGAAGAGUCCAAGAGAGUGAGAAAGAGAAAGUCUCUCUGGGUGGGGCAAAACAGGAAUCAUCUAACUGUUAUGUUUCAUUACCUUCUUUGCAUCCCCAGGACUUAAGACAAUGCUUGGCCCAUAAAAAGUGCUCAGUAAAUUCUAGUUGAUUAGUUACUAAAGAUCGGGUCCCCAAUGUCAAUGUGGUUACUCAAAGCUUUGAUGUGGAAUACUUGCCUUAUAACAUUUUGUGAGACUUUCAAUUCUUAGGGAACUGGGGGCUAGAAAACUUCCUAGGAAAUUUGGUUAGUACCAGGAUCUGUUUAAUAUAUCUGUGGUGGUUGCUUAGAGGCAUAGAUCACCUUCCCUAUUAUGUAAAACUGUGUUUGAAGCAGGUGCUUAAGGAUCUAGACAUGUUUGAGCCGAGAGAACAUUACACAGUUCUAGACUGAGGGGAGUGACCACUAUGACUGUUGAGUUAUAAAAGGAAUACACUGAUUGAUAUCUGGGGAUUAGAGCACCAUUGAAGGUACUUUUUCCUAGUGGUCUGGCCUUCUCUUUGUGAAUCUGUGUGGGUGUGGGUGUGUUUCAUAAAGGGGAAUCUAUUCAGAAAAAAAAUGUGUAAACUGUCUGAAACCAUGAGACUUUCUCAGGUCAACAAAGAAAUAUACAGCAAGGAAAAUCGCUGAACAUUGCUACUAAGCCCUCCACUUUUGACCAGAAGUUGCUGAGCAAGCUAAGGUCCACACAGAAAAAGCAGAAUGGACUAACCAGUGAACCAGCACCAACAGAGGCAUGGGUUUAGCCUCUCAAUCAAGCCCUACAACCAUUGGAGUCCCAUAAGGUUCAACUAUGGGGACCUUUGGGAGGUGGGAAGAAAAGAUACAUUUUUAUCAGGCAGGGUGGUCUUUGAUACCUGGCUAGAAUAUACCACAGAUAGAAUGAAGGAAUCCCAGGGGACUGCAAGCCAACUCAUAAGCCCUUGUCAUGAGGUAACAGUUUACAUUUGUGUUCGUUGGAUAGCCAAUAUGGCAGCACUGAGGGCAUAGAUGAUAACAACAUGGAAUUCUUCUCUCUCUCCCAAGAGUAAGUAGAAGCUCUCUGGUUUUGUCCUAAGGAGAGAUUAUUACAGAGUGGUGAUCAAAUGAUGGGUGGCUGCAGGGGGCUGAGAUCAUAGAAAACUGACCCUAGUGACCAAGAGGCUAGAGGUGAAGGUUGUAUUUGUACCUAUGGUUACACAGGUCUAUACCUCUAUGGCCUCUCCCAGGAUUAGGACAUUAUAGAUGAAAUGAGGAGGAUUAUUUACAUAGGAAUCAUGUCUGUCGCUUUGGAGCUAGCCAGGAGCUUCAUGAAUGUGAGGGAGAAAGUGAACAUUAUGAGUUCAAUAUUCUAGACUUAGAGAAUAUACCUGAAAUUUCAGUGUUGAUUUGGUGCAAUCUCAAACUCUAUUCAAAGUAUUGAUUGCACACUGUCGGGUUGGGACCAGAACGCUCUUUGUAGGCAGGUUAUUCCUCUUGUGCUGAAGGUAACAAAAGAAAGGCCUGUGCUGAUCAAAAGCAUUGAGUGUGCCGUGACCCCACAGUCUGGGACAGAUCUAAAGAAGCCCAAAUCCUUAGGUUUAGGAGACACUGCGAAGAAACAAAAGGGAUUUCUGGGAAAGAAAUUCAGGGUAAGGGUACUAGGAGUUUUCUCCACCUGGAGAACAGGAUGAGCCUAAGGAACAAAGUGAGCAAUUCACCUCAACAACUGCCAACCUUUGCCAAACUAGUCUCAGGGAACUAAAGCUGUAGGACCUUGGGAACUCCAUUAAGGAGCUAUUAGUCCAAGGAAUCAUAUUAAGUUUUAAACUACCCAUGUCUUGCCCAUAGUGUCCAAAGGGAGUGCAGAAGAGAACUGGAAAGAUUCAGAUGUACGCAAAUUAUUGAAACUUAGAUAAGAGAACUAAGAUCCAUUUCCAGAACUUCAUUCAUCCAUCCAUCCAUCCAUCCAUUCAUUAAGAAUCUAUUAUGUGCUAGAGACACCAAAACAAACCUAAAUAGUUCCUGUCUUCAAGAAGUUCACAUUCUACAGGGGAAGGACAUACAACCAAUGAGUGAACAAACAUUUAUGAAGUGCCUACGAUAUGCCGAGCCUAAUGCUAGGCACUGGAGAGGCAAAAUUGGAAGACUCUCUGAUUUGUGCUGGUUGGAUUCCCAUGGAGAGGAAGAUACGCAAAAGAAAGUUUGUGUCUUUGGGUAAACAUAGCUCUCCAGGGACGUCUGGGGCUCCUGCUACUUUGAGUAGAUCGGGGGAAAAGUCGCUGGUGGAAUUCCAGCAAAAUGGCCGUGUGAGAGAGUGUGUCUGAUUCCAGCUCCCCCUAAUCUUCUCAAAACAGUAAGAAGCACACCAAACAAAGUAACACCCCAAAGGGGCAAAUCAAAAUAAUAUGCAUAAGACCAUCACUACAGACUAACAAGAAAAGGAUGUCUUCCCAUACUGCCCUGUACUAAGGUUGACCACACAUUGCCCUGGGCACUGCAUACAAUAUGGUAGAACCCAUCACGUCUGAAGAAACAGGAGGCGUCCGAUUCUGUCAGAAAGGGAAAGCAGCUUACCAUCUCCGGCUAUCACCAAUCUAUCCACUAUCAACCAUUGCCUCCUGCAUUCUUGCUUUCAUUUAUACUUCCAUGUCAGAAUGGAGAUCCAGAGUUGAUUCAGGCCCAGGGAUGUAGGCAAGGACAGCAAGUCCCAUGGGACGAAAGAUGAUGAACCAUGGACCAUUAAAACGGUUAAUUUCCAACAAAAAUGGCGGUGCACAAGGUCACAGUUAAGUCAAAAUUCCCCUACAAAACUUACUGACAAAGAUGAAAAAGAGUAGCUGUUGAAGCAAUGAUGGAUAAAACCAAAAAGAAACACCAGAAAGCUCUUCUAGCCAAUCCAAGAUUGCACACAAAGCCGGCCAGAAGCCUGUUCAGGCUCUACAUGAGGGGAGGCCUAGUGGGGCCUGGAGCCAGGGGGAUUUGGAACCCAGCCUGUAGAAGGCACAGUAGGAGGCAAACUCAUAAGAGCACUCCUGGUAAGGGACUGCCCCAGUAGGUGAAAAGGGGCAGAGGUGCCUAGGCAUCUGGCAUCUGGAGACCCUCCUGGAGGCCUGGCAUUAGGGCAAUCUCCAACAUUCAGUAGCCAUACCUUAGGAUCAAUUGUAAAUAAAGAUGAUACCUAACAGGGAAAGAGAGCUUUUAAGGUUUGAAAAAGCAUAUUACAUAUAUUCUCUUAUUUGAUUCUCACAAACUACCCUAGGAGAUAGGUGACAUUGCUAUCCCCAUUAUACAGAUGAGAAAACUAAGGUUGAAAAACUAGUGUCUGGGGGAAGAUCUGAAUCCAAUCAUUUUAAUCUAAGUCCAGCAUGCUAUCUAUUACACCACCAAACUGCCUCAAGGGGCCCUCUUGACUGUCUUGAAAGCAGUGCAAGCUCCAAUAUUUAGUGACCAUAAAAUGGAAUCAAAAAAAAAAAAGAGGCAAAGCAGAGGGUCCAGGGGGUUAUUUGAGUAGCAUGAAGCCAGUGUGGUCUUUCCAGAUCAGUCAGGGCCACAGCAUGGGACAAAGCAAACUCUACACUGGUAACAGGGCUGAGGCCAGAAUCCAUGUUAGGGUACUUGGAGAUAGAUUAAGAGAAGCCCAAGAUGCAGCCUCUCAAGAUGGACUACCCAAAAAGGUAAUUUGAGUCUCAGGAAAAAAUUGACUUGGGUCCCAUAGACUAAGAAGAUUUGGAAAAAAAAAAAUAAGAAAAGCAACCUGAGACUGCUGCAACUUCCAAAAAUUUUGUAAUAUUAGAUGCCAAAAGAUUAAAGAAGUUUAACCAUCAAAAAGGCUGAGUGAGAACUUUGAUAUGCACUCAUCUCUCAGUCAAUUCAUCAAAACAUCAAGAAAUGGGCCAAAUAAUUAUUUUGAAAAGACUAAAAGGGGAAAAAAAGUAAGAAAUUAUUACAAGGAAGCAUCCUUGGUUCAAGGUUAGGGAGGGAAGAUCAGCAUGGAAAUUAAGGAAACGAGCAAAUAAAAGUAGCUAAUACAAUAAAGAAAUAGCAUAGGGGGGAAAUAACUAUAAAAUGAAAGAAACUGCAAAUGAAGGAAAUAAUUUUGUGGUAACUACAACCAGAAUUCCCUCUGUACUCCCCUCUGCAUCCCUUCCUCAAAAAGCAUGGAAUGACCAUGAGAAUCUAAGAGAGAGUUGAAUGACUUAACAAAAUAAAGGAAAAGAAAACUAAGGAGUGAAAUUAAAGUUCUUGAUGAAAAACCAAGGAGAAUUGGAUGGCUUGGGGCAGAGGCUAAAAAUCCUUAACAACAAACUUGUGAUUUUGAGGAGCUACAAUUUUUUUUUACAAAGUGGGAAGUAGGGAGAAGGUCUUGAAGAUGGAAAUGUCAUUAUCAUGAGCUUAAUUUCUCCCAGAGAUUAGAAGCAAAAGAAUAUUGCUUAUAAGAAGAAAUACCUACAUUAUAUCUCCCAGAAAGCUGUGUGUGAUCCUGCAGUGUGAUGGUAUCACUUAACUCAGACUUGGAGUGAAUACAGAGGCUCUGUAGCCUGGGACAUCACAAUCUCUUCUGAGACUGACUGAGGCAUCAGAAACACAGGCAAAAGAGGAAAUGGAAAUAAGGGCGAGGGUGGAGGGUCGGACUAAGGGUGCCUUAAACUCUUAAAUUCAAAUGAUAACUGUGAGAAUUGCAGCAAGAAGUGUUCACCCAUCAUCACCAAGGAGACAGAGCUCUAUAGUUCUAAGGUGUUUGGGGGUUUUGUUCAUUUGUUUUUAUUUUCAGGCUAUUGGGGUGAAAUGAUUUGCCCAGGUUCAAACAGUUAGUACAAGUCUGAGAUCUGAUUUGAACUCAGGUCCCCGAGACACCAGAGUCAAUUCUCUGUCUCCACCUAGCUGCCCUUAAUGUGUUUGUUUCAUUUUUUUUCUUUGUACCUUCUUUGCCUAGCACAAAGUAGAUAAUAAACAGAUGUUUAAUGGAUUUAAUUUAUAUGCUGAAAUUGAAGGGGAAAUACCGUAGUUCCCUGGGAUUUCCACAGACAAAAGCAGUUGAGGGAGGUGAGGAGGGAAUAAUCCUAAACCCUUAAACACUAUUGGGAUAUCAUUGGGACAGAUGAAAAAUACCAAAAGAAUUUCAAGGACAUUAUCAGCUGCCUCAUGAAUGCACUGCCAGUGUUGGCUUUUGCAGAUUCAAGCAAAAUCUUUGUGAUUCACGCUGAUAUCAGUUAUUAAUUAUACACUAGCAGAGUGAAAGUCACUAGAAUCCUAUUGCAUUUUCCAAUCAGGGAUUCCUAGAUAGCAAGGCUUAUAUUACCAUAUCCAAAAAUUGGAGCUCUUGGCUUUGAAGAGAGAAGCUACAAGAGUGUGUAGAUUUCAGUGUUUGAACAGAUGGAUUCAAGUACUAAGUUAGAUGCUGCCUAUCAGAGCUACAGCAGAAGAUACAAAACUUUAUCCAGGUAGUGAACAGAAUGGAGCAAACAAAACACAAUGACUUCAGAAAACAACAAGAAAUAUCAAAAUAAAGUGAAAAGAUUUUAAAAGCAGAAGAAAAUAUAAAGCAUCUACCUUAGAAGGCAACUAAAAAUAAGUCCAGAAUAAAUUAAGAACCAUUGGAUUCACUGAAAACUAUGUCCAAACAAAAAUCCUAGGUAUCAUAUUUCAAGAAAUCACAAAACUGCCUAGAUCUAUUAGAUCCUUCGGGGAAAGUAACAAUUUAAAGAUCCACCAGUCAUGAAAGAAACCCUCAAUUAAAAACAGGCAGAAUGGCAUAACCAAAAUCCAGAACAUACAGGUCAGUGAAAAAACUACUGCCUGAAACUAAAAGAAAGAGUUCAAGUAUCAAAGAAUCAUAGUCAGGGUCAUACAAGACUAUGGCAUAAUUUUUUAUAAAGGAGAGAAGAUUUUGAAAUAUGAUAUUCUAAAGGCAAAAGAUAAAGGCUUGCAACCAAGAAUAAUUUAUUUUGCAAGGCAAUAUAAUCCUAAAGGGGAAGGGAAAUGGACCUUUUAAUGGGGAAAAAAAAAGAUAAGUAGAAGCCUGGAACAUAAACACAACAGCCUAGAGGAGCCUAGAAAGAUAAAAACAUUCAAGUAAUUGGAAGGUACUAAAUGCUGCUGAAGUGCUUAUAUUCUAAUAGGGGGGAGAAGAAUCGUAUCCUUUUAGAAACACAACAUUUUUAAAUGUUACAGGAGUUAAGAAAGACAGACAACGUUUGAAGUGGUUUCAUUCUUUUGUUUGUUUUAAAUCAAAAAAUAAAAGAAGGGGGAAAGGAAUAAUUCAGGAAAAAAUGAACAGAAAUUUACCUUUUCUCAUUAAAGAAGAAGGGUAUAUACAUCCUUGCAUACAAAUAGAAAAUUUAGAGCACAAAGCAAUAAAAACAGUGGGAAAAAGGGAUGUAGAAGGAACAUGAAGAGGGCAGAUAAAGAUGGAAAUGAAAAACAUAUUUCAGCUUUUUAAUGUUAUUCAUAAAUGGGGAAUUGAAAGUAAAUCAUAAAAAUCAGUAAUAGUCUAGUUGAGGAGAAGAAAGGACAGGAAAUAAGAGCUGACCACUAGUUCCUAAUGUUAAUCGAUCAUAUUCCUUCUCUUUCUUCAACUUCUUUUUUUGUAAAGAAGUUCUAAAAAUAAAAAAUGAAGAGUUUGGACCCCAGGGACUCAAAUUACAAACCCCAAAAGACAAUCUAGUAUUGAGAGAGUGGCAUAAGUUGGAAUUAAAAAAUAGAGCACUGUAGUCAACAAUUAGCGAUCCAUCACCACAAAGAAAGCAGUUGUUGCUAACUGUGGCUAUGAAAACUCUCGAUAAUGGUUUUGGACACGUGGACCAAAAGAGAACUUUGGGGUUGGUACAAAUUUGAUUCUAUUGGCCCAAGAAUGGAGGGAGAUGCGUGUAGGGUGUAUUUUUUAAAAUGUGCUCUAUGUGUUCAUGAAUGAAUCUUUCUUUUACUGCUUAUCUGGAAAAUCUAAGAACUAGCCAGUCUUUGGAGCUUGUGCGUAUAGACAUUUUAUCUUUGAAAAGAGGUAGGUAGAACAAGAACAACAUUCUGGUGGCAGAUCAUCUUAGUCCCUGUACACUGAAACCAGAAAUCUUCUCCAUUUCCCAACGUGGUGUAGGAAAGUAUUCUCGGGGUAUAGUUUCCCUGCCAGGAUCCUUUCUGAAAAGUCAAGUCUUUGAAAAUAAGUCCAUUAAGGAGGUGGAUCAGUUAACUGAGGCAAAUGCAUAGCAAUGGCCUUAGCUGAGAAAUUCUCAAAGGGGAACAAGUAAGAAUCUGACACGAGUUCAAUCUCAGUAAAUCUGGGAAGAAGCUAGCAUCCUGCUAAGGAAUCUUGCUGUCCAGAGAAAAUAUAAGAUAGUAAGAAGUAGACUGGCCAAGAGCCACCCUUUCCAAAUGCUAGUAAAUAUACUCUCAACAAAAUAGUUCCAUAGCACAGAGAGAACCUUGUAAUAAUGAUACACCACAAUUACCAUUGCUCACAUGGGAGCCAGCCUGAUUAUCUGGAGGACAAGAACAAUGCAGGGACUACCAAGGACCUUUGAGACAGGCCUAUCCAGCAGUUGCAGAUCAACACUCAAAGCCAGAUGAUAACACAUAGGGAGAGAACCCUUGGGGCCAAUUUAAAAAGAAACUGCAUGGUAGUAACCUCUUGAGAGUUUGGGAAGCCUCCCAAAAUCAAAGCUUACCAAGAUCAAGGGGAAACUCUGCCUAGCCAAGGAGGAAGGCCUGAAUCCUGGGGCUGCCCUUUUCCUGCCCAAUUUUCCCCCGGAGGAGGCCUCAAGAAGUUAUGUAUUGGGCUCUACAGCCUAAAUCAUCCAGGAGGUCAAAACUGAGACAGUAGGACGUCUUAGAAUAAGGGUGCUGAUUAGAUGGCAGCAUGUGCUUGGACACACACACACACAAACACACACACACACACACACACACACACACACUCUCUUAAGAGGAAAAGUAAGCUUUUCUUAAGAGAUUCACAGUUUCAUGUACAAUUCUCUUUCUCUGUUCUACUUGGUAUGUAUAAAGAUUAUAAUAGAAAAGAUUUUUUUAAAGGAAGCAGGUCCCCAGAGUAGAAUCAAGACUCUAAGGUCGGGGUUUAGUAUGACUUAGGAUGCUACAGGAGAAAGAAGAAAGCUAACAUCCAGCGAUGAAGCGCGUGUAAUAGUAUAGCUACAUAUUUGGGUACGCCGUGACCCUUUGUAACACGUACAAUAGCAAUUUCUCUGUGUGCCUGGUGUAUGGUAGGAGACUAAUGUAGGUGCCAUAUAUGGUAAGCCUAUAUACAUUUCAGAUGAUCUCCAGAAAAACACUAUAUACUAACUGAUGCACAUCAAUGAGGUGUGUAAGAAGUUUUGCACGUGACUGGCAGGCACUACAGAUUUGUUUUUUUCUUUAACUGUACAGAAUAUAUUUGUAGACUGCAGGUCCCACAAUGCUUGGGAGCUUCAAUCAUUGGAUUAUAUUUCCCAGAAGGCUGUGUGUGAGACUGCAGCAUGGAGAUAUUGCCCAACACAAAUUCUAACAAUGAAAGGUUAAAAAAGCUUUAUGACUUUUGCAUGAAAGGCUUAAGCAGGCAGCGAUAGAAACAGAAGCAGGAGAAAGAGCAGCUGCAUAGAGAGAAAGGAAGCAAAGGGAGCAGGGCUGGGCUAGUCACAACCCAAGAAUCCAUCAGGGCCUUGAGGAUGUUUUCAACAAUUCUGACAAAAGACUUCAGUUGGCAUCUGGCCAAGAGAAGUCAGUCAGUACUCUCUAGCCCUGAUGGCUUUGAGACUGAAGGGGGAGCUAAUUAAGCAAAGCAUUCUGGGACCCAAAGUUUCAACACCAGUGUUGUGAGUUUAUCUGUGUUCCUCUCCCAUUACAUUGGAUAUACAAAGGAAUUAAACAUGGCGAUGACCAGAGUACUCCUGGAGACAUGGGAAAUGGCAGUCAUUUAUGUAAGCUAUGCAGUUGCUUUGCAGCCUAUAUGAUUGAUCUAUCGUAUACAACUCUAAGAGACGAUGUCAUGUUGUAUAUACCUACCCUUGAUCUCUGUAUUUUGUUGAGAGUCUGAAUCUUUACCAUGGGAUGUUGGUCCGCAUGUAUCCUCAUGUAACCUGGGAAUCUCUUUUACUAUGUGUAAUAAAACAGAUUGUAGAAUAACUGUCUGGAGCAUAUAAACGUUUUUAUGCACCAGAUAAAACGCGGGGAUUGUAAAGUUUUUAACGGGGAUACAAUUUAACAGACACAUGAAACAGAGGAGAGGACUGAGAAAACACUCACUUUCCCAUGUUGCCAUGGGCUCAAGGUGGAAGUGCUGAUUAGAAAAGAGCAGAUUGCCGAGUACCAGAAGAAAGGAGGUGCAGAGAGAAGCAGCAGCAGCAUCCAAGCUUAUGGUAGCUAGCAGAAGCUGUAGCGGCGGCAGAAGCUGUAGCGGCAGCAGAAGCAGUGGCGGAGGCAGAAGCUGUGGCGGUAGCAGAAGCAGUGGCGACGGCAGAAGCAGUAGCGGCGGCAGCAACGGCGGCAGGAGCGGCAGUAGCGGCGGCAGCAAUAGUAGCAGUAGCUGCAGUAGUAGCGGCGGCAGAGGCGGCAGCAGAAGCGGCAGCAGUAGCGGCGGCGGCAGCACCGACUAUAGCAGUAGCAUCAGGAGCAGGACUAAAGCUGAGACAGAUGCAGAAUUAGCAGACAGAAGCCGGAGCAAGCAAACGGAAGCUGCGUGGGAAUCCGGACAAGAGAUGGGACGUCUUCAUUGAAGUUCUACAGUUCCAUUCACACGAUUGAGACUUUCCCUAAUUAGUGUUAUGAGUUUACGUGUGGGUUCGGCUGACCCCUUUAGGAAGGAAGGAGAGUGGCCUUAUUACCUGGCUACUAGAUGCAGAGGGGACUUCCUUUUAUGUCCUUUUCUGCUUGCCAGAAGGACAUUUUCUAUCCAAAAUGCUUCUUAGUAGCUUUGGUUGCCCACAUGUGAGCUUACUCAGUACCACUAGGGGAAAGCCAGGAAUAUACAAAAUUCGGAUAUGCACAGGAAGAAAGAGACAGAAAGACAGACACCAUUCGAGGAGUAAAGGCAAAACACAAGACAUAGCAAAGUUAUCAGAGAGAAGUUUCCCAAAAGCAUACUUGUUUUGAAAUAUAAGCCCUCCUGAGCACUCAGGUUGCCACUGGUAUCUAAAGGAACAUGAGUUAUACAGAACAUGUACGGAUAUUCCUCACCUGCCACUGUCUAACCAUGUAAGGAAUGGCAGCAGGGUCACCAUUACAUUGAACCCUCAAUAAUCACGUCAUAGUCACUCCUGCUGAGUCUCCACCAAAAAAGGAAGAGACAGAGAGGGGGAUCCCUUUUGUAUAUCCACUGUGCCAGCAGUUCCUCCGUCUGAGCAACCCAUUAGAGCCCUUUGUCAUCUCAAAUUUCAAGCCCUUUACACACACACC
rnacentral:lncRNA from 1 species